CGAACGGGUGAGUAAUACAUCGGAACGUGCCCGGUAGUGGGGGAUAACCCGGCGAAAGCCGGACUAAUACCGCAUACGACCUACGGGUGAAAGCAGGGGAUCGCAAGACCUUGCGCUAUCGGAGCGGCCGAUGUCAGAUUAGCUUGUUGGCGGGGUAAAAGCCCACCAAGGCGACGAUCUGUAGCUGGUCUGAGAGGACGACCAGCCACACUGGGACUGAGACACGGCCCAG
rnacentral:rRNA from 1 species